UCCUCGGUAGCUCAACGGUAGAGCACCCGCCUGUUAAGCGGAUGGUUACUGGUUCGAAUCCAGUCCGAGGAG
rnacentral:tRNA from 1 species